rnacentral:rRNA from 1 species
UAUUAUAUUUAAUAUUAAACAUUACAUAUUUGAUUAUUAAUAGAUAUAUACUUUAAAUUCAAAGAAUUUGGCGGUAUUUUAGUCUUGUUAGAGGAACCUGUUUUAUAAUCGAUAAACCACGUAUAUCUUACUUAUUUUAAAUAAUUUGUAUACCGUCAUUAUUAGAUAACUUUCAAAAAAUUAGUUAUUAAAAUUAAUAAAAUUAAAUAUAUUAGAUCAAGGUGCAGUUAAUAAAUAAGAAAAAAUGGGUUACAAUAAAAUUUAUUUAAUAAACGAAUUAUAUAAAUGAAAAAAUAUAUGAAGGAGGAUUUAAUUGUAAUUUUUUUUUUAAAAUAAUAAUAUGAUAAUAGUUCUAAAAUAUGUACAUAU